rnacentral:lncRNA from 1 species
UUUUUAAAACUAGCACGGGCUUCAGAAACAGCGGGUAAUCAGUUUGAAAAGAUUUUUCGACAGCGAUGGAUGCAUCUUUACAUUGGUGAUGAAAAAACUGUUUUAGAUGUUCUGGAUAUGGACACAAGAAACUUCUAGUACAGAUAUCUGAUAUUUUGGGAGAUUGCUGCAAUCCCAAACUUAUGUACAAUUGAACUGUAAAGGGUAGGUUUUUUUUAAAUUUUAUUAUUUGUUUUCAAAAUGUUCGAAAUGUUUUAAUUUUUUUAUAUUGAUUAAUGAUUUUGAGGAAAUUAAUUUCACAAGAAUCUGUCUGAGAGUUUGUAUGAAUUAUUCCACGUUUAACUUGAAACCAGAAGCCCAUGAGGGAGGGUAGGAGGGGUCCUGAUCCCGCAAUCCCGGGCUUAAAAACACGAAAUCCCGAGGUCCCGAAAUUCGAAAAAAGAAUUCCCGGAUCCCGAAAGGGUCGAUCCCGAAAUCCCGAGCUUAAAAACACCCGAUCCCGGAGUCCCGAUAAAGGUCCUAUCCCCCCUCGCCCAUGGCGUACAUUAAUUAAACGGGAUUUCAAAAUGUUCACCAUUAAAAUCAUUGACAUGCGACGAUAUAAUUAAAAAAAAAGAAGAAAUAGCUCAUUUAGAGCUGGGAACAGUAUAACUAACAUAAAUAUAUUCCUGUUUAGAGUAAAACGCUAUCUAAUUUUAACGGUCAAACAUAGAGUAGCCUCAUUAAAAGUCUAGAUGUCAGCAGUGUUUAAUAAACCGGGUGUGGAUCAAACACUUUUAAAGCGGGGGUGGGGGUAAAGCAAGCCAACAUUUGAAAAUACUAUUAAAUAGGUUAUUUGUUUACCAUAUUUAAAGUUCUUUAAAAGGGGCGUGCUUCCUGUCCCCUCCAUCCCCUAAAAACUAACCCGCCUUGCCAAACAAACGGUUAGAUGUGAUUCAUGUAAAUGUAGCUGUACAGUGGAGCCUAUAGGAAGUUUACCAUUUAAUAACCGAAAAUCAACAUAUUUUUAAACUUUUAUUUGUUUGUUCUGGGAGCGAAUCUUGAUUCAUUUAAAAUAUAGGACAACAGAGUUGGUGUAUGUGGGUUCGAUUCCCACCCUAAGCAAUCAUUUAUUUCAGCUGGUGCAAAGCGGGCAAAUUAGCUUAGUGGCCCCUCACUGACUUUGUUGUUUCUAUCAAAAAAUUCAGACGGCCGCGGCUAGGUCUUGACAAUGUUUUUCUUUUGAAUACCUUAUACAACAAAACCAUGGUAUAAUUGUGAAAAUUAUACCAUGGAUAGCUAUGGUAUAAUUUUCGGUUAUUGAGAUUUAUACUCGGGUUGCACUCCCAUAGGUUACAUUGAACAGCUAUAGGUUAACUAUUAGUUA